rnacentral:SRP_RNA from 1 species
CCGUGCUAAGUGGGGAGAUAGCGGUGCCCUGUACCUGUAAUCCGCUAUAACAGGACUGAAUGCCAUUGUCAGGUUUUUUUCGGUAAAGUUAGGCUUCAAUAAGUGGUGUUGACGAUUGGGUCCCAUGCAAUACAAACCUGUGAACCGUGUCAGGUCCGGAAGGAAGCAGCACUAAGCGGUCAUUUGUAUGUGCCAUGGGAACGCCUGAUCUGAGCUAACUGUUGAAAUACCGUUUAUUGAGAAUCAUCGAGCAUCGGCUGCACGG